UACGCGGGGGGCAAGCGUUGUUCGGAAUUAUUGGGCGUAAAGGGUGCGUAGGCGGUUUGGUAAGUCUUAUGUGAAAUCUACAGGCUCAACUUGUAGUCUGCAUGAGAAACUGCCGGGCUUGAGUAUGGGAGAGGUGAGUGGAAUUCCUGGUGUAGCGGUGAAAUGCGUAGAUAUCAGGAGGAACACCAAUGGCGAAGGCAGAUCUCUGGGCCGUAACUGACGCUGAGGAGCGAAAGCAUGGGGAGCGAACAGG
rnacentral:rRNA from 1 species